rnacentral:rRNA from 1 species
GAUGAACGCUGGCGGCGUGCUUAACACAUGCAAGUCGAACGGAAAGGCCCAAGCUUGUUUGGGUACUCGAGUGGCGAACGGGUGAGUCACCCGUGGGUGAUCUGCCCUGCACUUCGGGUUCAGCCUGGGAAACUGGGUCUAAUACCGGAUAGGACCACAUUUUGGAUGGUGCGGUGGAACGUUCUUCGGUGUGGGGUGAGCUCGCGGCCUAUCUGCUUGUUGGUGGGGUAAUGGCCUACCAAUGCGUCGACGGGUAGCCGGCCUGUGAGGGUGUACGGCCGCAUUGGGACUGAGAGGCGGCCGAGGCUCCGACGUGUGGCAGCAGGGGGCAAGACUGCUCAGGGAAUGCAAGCCGGAUGCAGAGGGGCCUCGGGUUGGAUGACGGCCUUCUGGUGGAAAACACGUUUCGGGAGAAUCCACGCGGUUUGUGACGGUACCGGGAGAAUAAGCACCGGCUAACUACGUG